GGUGCACUUAACCCCAGGCACGCUGCACGUGUGAGGUCACCGCCUGUCCCCGUGCACAGACCUGACUCCAGAGAUCGGCCUCCGCGGAGGGGCCCUGCGGGCCGCGGGGCCUGCGGGGCGGGUGUCUGCACCUCGGUGGUCUCGCUGUGGGGGGCUGACUGAGCAGAGCCCCCCGCUGUCCCCCCUCCUAGGCAGCGAGCCCUGUUCCUCGUGCUGGAGGCCUACUUGGUGUACGACACCGAGGUGGGCUACUGCCAGGGCAUGAGCGAGAUCGCGGCCAUCCUCAUGUUCCUGCCCGAGGAGGACGCCUUCUGGGCGCUGGCCCACCUGAUGACCGACGACAGGCACACCAUGCACGGCUUCUUCGUCCCGGGCUUCCCGAAGCUCCUCAGGUUCCAGGCUCAUCACGAGCACAUCCUCCAAAGAGCUCUCCCUGACCUGAGGAAGCACAUGGCGAGUGGGAGCUCCUGAGGCUCCGUCCCCGGGGCCCAGGGC